UCAUUUAAUUUUGCGGAAGAUCAGUUCUCUUAUUUGUAACAGGGGAGGGGGUGGUGAUGGUAGGAUUGGAUAUAGGUCUUCAGUCUAUAAACUGAUAGAAAGUUUAUAAAAGACAAAAUAAAGCAACAAAGAAUAAGAAACAAAGCAUCAAUCGUUUCAGUUCACAUUUUAUUUUCUUUACAUCAAUUCUUGGAUCACCCAUAGGAGGCAGAAGCUGUUUUUGACCCUUUUACUUUUAGUUGAGAGCUGAUUCUUAUCUCAGCCUGUAGGCCCUUGAGAAGCCUCAGAAUUUCAGCUUAAGGUAGUGAUGGAGGGACGACAUUCCUUCUAAAUUACAGGCACACAGAAUUAAAAACACAUCACUCUUCUGACACUGGAUCCUCCAGCCUGUGCUCCACGGGAAGACUUUGCUGCAGAGGCUUGAAGGAGAAUGCUUACAGGUUUAUCUUCAGUACCCAAAUAAAAUCUGGAUGGAUCUGGCUUGCCAAGCAAGCUGCCAUGCGUUCUACAGCUGCAAGGAAAUUACUUCUGUCAACAACCCAAGGGAGCUUGGCAAUAGAAAUCUUUCCGUGUUGAGUUCACUGAUGAGACAAAGCCCAGGUCAACAUCAUGAUUUCAGCUCGGUGAGAAGCCCUCAGAGAACUUGCUAAGCUGUGCUUGAACUACUGAUCCACAGAAACUAUGAGAUAAUACAUGGGUGUCUUUUAAAGCCACUGCGUUUGUGGUAAUUUGUUACAAAGCAAUAGAGCACUAAUCCAGACUUGGGCCUAGAUUUUCAAUUUUAUUUUUUAGAAAGUCAAAUGGAGCAAGGCUAUGUGCAUUAGCCCUUCUGGUGGGAGGGGCAGGGCAAUGAGGAUCAAGAAUGCACUUGUCACAUACACAUUUCUGCAGCUAGAUGCCAAUCCAGGCUCUUCUUAUUUGUGAAUAUGUCUCCAUAGGGCUGGAUGGCUAGUAUGGCCUAGUCUCUGAUUCCAAAAUUACCACGUGAUUAGGAAGCCAAUCUUCCUAAUCUUUUCAGUGGAAUAACUGAAAAAUGUCAUCCAUCCAAGUCCAUACUUCCAAAGCAAGGACUAAACUCACAUUAGGUAUGCAUCCAUCUAUUUUCUUUUGAGACAGAGUCUCGCUCUGUUGCCCAGGCUGGAGUGCAGUGGUGUGAUCUUAGCUCACCGCAACAUUGCCUCCCAGGUUCAACUAAUUCUCCUGCCUCAGCCUCCCAA
rnacentral:lncRNA from 1 species